AGGGGGUUCGCCAAGAGGUAAGGCACAGGAAUUUGACUCCUGCAUCGAUGGUUCGAUUCCAUCACUCCCUG
rnacentral:tRNA from 1 species